rnacentral:pre_miRNA from 1 species
UUUGUACUCCCUCUGUCCCAAAAUUCUUGUCUUAAAUUUGUCUAAAUACGGAUGUAUCUAGUUACAUUUUAGUGUUAGAUACAUCCGUAUCUAAACAAAUGUAAGACAAGAAU